CUGAGUAACCGAGUUUUAUGAAUUUGAGUGACUGUUACCCAAAUAAAUAUAAAUAAGUGGGAAACUCAAAAUUGAGUUCACCGUGAAAAUUUCUUAAAAAUGGCGAAGUCCGAUUGCUGAAGAUUAUCAGAAAUCAUAUUCAAUUAUAAAAUAUAUGUGGAACGAUAAGUAGAACAGAGAUUGAAAUGAAGACAAAACAAUCUGGAGAGUGUUUCUUUUCGCUACUUGUUGUAUCGGAGUUCUAUCUCGGCCUUAAAUUCAGGCUCUGAAGGCUAUGGGAAAGUGCCAGGUGCCAGGCUACGAUAUUACGUGCUUCCUU